ensembl:lncRNA
UUUGUUGCUGAAAGAAUCAGUUCCAACUGCGUCAAACACAUCAAGUCAGUCUCCCACCAUUUAGUCAGUUUUUUUUUUCCUGCAUGUUAAUCCAUGUAAAUCCAUUAAGAUGUUUUCAUCAUUUCAUAUUUUCCUAACUCUGUGUGUGGUAGGGCUAUGCUUGUGUUGGAGCUCGUGAAGGGUGGGGAGAAAACUCUCUAGAGAGAGCAACUGGGUCAGCAGCUCUCUUCUCUUAUUUUAUAUAUAUAUCAUGCUGUUGGACAUGUUUUGGACUAGUUGUCCUCGGUCACAUCCUGUCGUGAUGUGUUUUGCAGUGAGAAUGCCCCUUGAGCCAUCAGAGUAUUACUUCCUCUGGAGACCUCUCUUUCUGUCCUUACCACUGCUGAGAGCAUCACAACUCGUUUGGCUACAGAAAAGGCUUGCUGCUGGCUCUCCUCCAACAUCACAACACUGCUGA